CACGGCUCCCGCUACCCGCGCGGCUGGCCCCUCGGGGGGCGGGGAAGUCCUGCUGGAGAGCCCAUCCUUUCCGCCCGCCCGCCGCUCACCGGCUGCACCAGGCUGUGCCGGGCCCAGCCGCACACAGUCCCGCGAACCGAGAACCCUGGCGAUGCGCUUUGCGCCUAGCAGGCGGGAGGGAGAGCCAGGCGUCCCGCCGGGAGGAAGGGCGCUCCGAGUGUCGGAACUGGCCGUCCAGGGGCCUGCGGGUUGGCGCUGUGGACGCGUGUUCCUAGAGGAAAUAACUGGGAGUAUGACGGGACGGAACAGGUGGGGGCGAAGAAUUUGGGUUUGACACCGUAGGCAAUCGGGGCUCCUCCGAGAAAUGGAAGCAGUCCAAUGUUGAAGUCAACACCUGCUGCUAAGAAUGUGUACAAGUUUGGGGAAGUCGCCGUUUCUCUACGGGACUCCGUUUCCGCGUCUGUAAGUCAGAGUAAAUACCCACUUCGGUGUGCCGUGAGGCCCGGGCGACAGAGGAGGAAUGACUGGCUCGUACCGCAUAGCGCAGGGUGCGAUCGUAGUGCUUGCUCCAUGCUGACUUCAUCGCCUCCCAUAAAGAUACGGUCUGUAGGCGGUCGGAUGGAUGAACUCUGUGAUUCUCAGCCCAGAUGCUCCCUGUAGGCUACACUUCCACCCCCGGCCUUCCCUUAGGUGGGUUCCCGACUUUGGUAAAGGAAGGUUUCUGCGCCCCCUGGUGGUCAUAAAUGGAAAAGGGGCGCCUGGGUGGCUCAGUCGUUAAGCGUCUGCCUUCGGC